rnacentral:rRNA from 1 species
CCUACGGGUGGCAGCAGUCGAGAAUCAUUCACAAUGGGGGAAACCCUGAUGGUGCGACGCCGCGUGGGGGAAUGAAGGUCUUCGGAUUGUAAACCCCUGUCAUGUGGGAGCAAAUUAAAAAGAUAGUACCACAAGCGGAAGAGACGGAUAACUCUGUGCCAGCAGCCGCGGUAAUACAGGGGUCGCAAGCGUUGUUCGGAUUCGCUGGGCGUAAAGCGUGCGUAGGCGGUUGCGUAAGUCGUGUGUGAAAGGCGCGGGCUCAACCCGGGGACUGCACCUGAUACUGCGAGACUAGAGUAAUGGAGGGGGAGGCGGAAUUCUUGGUGUAGCAGUGAAAUGCGUAGAUA